CCUACGGGUGGCAGCAGUGAGGAAUAUUGGUCAAUGGCCGAGAGGCUGAACCAGCCAAGUCGCGUGAGGGAAGAAUGUCCUAUGGAUUGUAAACCUCUUUUGUCAGGGAGCAAAGUCACCCACGUGUGGGUGUUGGAGAGUACCUGACUAAGAAGCCCCGGCUAACUACGUGCCAGCAGCCGCGGUAAUACGUAGGGGGCAAGCGUUAUCCGGAUUUACUGGGUGUAAAGGGAGCGUAGACGGCAGCGCAAGUCUGGAGUGAAAUGCCGGGGCCCAACCCCGGAACUGCUCUGGAAACGGUGAAGCUGGAGUGCAGGAGAGGUAAGCGGAAUUCCUGGUGUAGCGGUGAAAUGCGUAGAUAUCAGGAGGAACACCGGCGGCGAAGGCGGCUUACUGGACUGUAACUGACGUUGAGGCUCGAAGGCGUGGGGAGCAAACAGGAUUAGAUACCCGGGUAGUC
rnacentral:rRNA from 1 species